UGGGGAAUAUUGCACAAUGGGCGCAAGCCUGAUGCAGCCAUGCCGCGUGUGUGAAGAAGGCCUUCGGGUUGUAAAGCACUUUCAGCGAGGAGGAAGGUGGUGGACUUAAUACGUUCAUCAAUUGACGUUACUCGCAGAAGAAGCACCGGCUAACUCCGUGCCAGCAGCCGCGGUAAUACGGAGGGUGCAAGCGUUAAUCGGAAUUACUGGGCGUAAAGCGCACGCAGGCGGUUUGUUAAGUCAGAUGUGAAAUCCCCGGGCUCAACCUGGGAACUGCAUUUGAAACUGGCAAGCUAGAGUCUCGUAGAGGGGGCUAGAAUUCCAGGUGUAGCGGUGAAAUGCGUAGAGAUCUGGAGGAAUACCGGUGGCGAAGGCGGCCCCCUGGACGAAGACUGACGCUCAGGUGCGAAAGGCGU
rnacentral:rRNA from 1 species